UUUCCAGGGGAUCUUCCCAACCCAGGGAUCAGACUUGGGUCUCCUGCAUUGUGGGCAGAUUCUUUACCAUCUGAGCCACCUGACUUGGUAGCCUGGUUCUCAUAGAAGCUGCCAGUAGAAAUUGCCCCACUCUCCCACCUUCAGGAACUCUGCUCACAUGCGCCUGCAACAGCAAUGGAGCUCAGUCCCAAACUCAGUCUCCUGGUUGGCAUGGAUACCUUGCUGUGGAAUUCAGUGUUGGUUUGGCAGCCUGCACACAUUCUGAAAGGAAAUGUAAACAGUUGCCCUUGAUGAGAAGACUGCAAUGUAUCCUUUGGCAUUUGAGGCUCUAAGUACAUGUUGGAAAUUUUGAACCAUAAAACAAAAAUCUAGGUCUGAGUUCAUGUUAAGAGGAAUUCCACAGAAAAGAAAUUCCUGGAGCACUUUUAAAAAACAAUGGUAAUAACACCUCCCUACUGAAGAGGAAAGCUUUGAGCCAUCCAUUAAAACAAAGUCACACAGCCAAGCCGUGAGAGUGUCCCAUUUCCUGGAAACAGUCAAUAAAAUCAAUUUGCAGUUAAAAUUGCAGGUAUUGCCCCUUGGAUCCAUCAUAUGAGGGUGAAGAGAGCAUAUCACGCAGACCCAGAAAACGCUGAGUGGACUGCACAGAGGGACCCCACUGACCCUUGAGAGACUAUGAUCAUCCUUAAGAAGAAGAGGGAAAAGAAGAUCCUGGAC
ensembl:lncRNA